AACGAACGCUGGCGGCAGGCUUAAUACAUGCAAGUCGAACGCCCCUUUCGGGGGGAGUGGCAGACGGGUGAGUAACGCGUGGGAACGUGCCCAAAGGUAGGGAACAACUCCGGGAAACUGGAGCUAAUACCCUAUGUGCCCGAGAGGGGAAAGAUUUAUCGCCUUUGGAUCGGCCCGCGUUGGAUUAGCUAGUUGGUGGGGUAAAGGCCUACCAAGGCGACGAUCCAUAGCUGUUCUGAGAGGAAGAUCAGCCACACUGGGACUGAGACACGGCCCAGACUCCUACGGGAGGCAGCAGUAGGGAAUCUUGGACAAUGGGCGCAAGCCUGAUCCAGCCAUGCCGCGUGAGUGAUGAAGGCCUUAGGGUUGUAAAACUCUUUCGCAGGUGACGAUAAUGACGGUAACCUGAGAAGAAGCCCCGGCUAACUUCGUGCCAGCAGCCGCCGUAA
rnacentral:rRNA from 1 species